GACGAACGCUGGCGGCGUGCCUAAUACAUGCAAGUAGGACGCAGUUGCGAACGGGUGAGUAACGCGUAGGUAACUACCUAUUAGAGGGGGAUAACUAUUGGCAACGAUAGCUAAUACCGCAUACUAGUAGAUGGACCUGCGUUGUAUUAGCUAGUAGGUAGGGUAAUGGACUACCUAGGCAACGAUACAUAGCCGACCUGGAAGGGUGAUCGGCCACACUGGGACUGGGACACGGCCCAGACUCCUUCGGGAGGGCGCAGUAGGGAAUCUGCGGCAAUGGGGGGAACGCUGACCAAGCAACGGCGCGUGAGUGAAGAAAGGUUUCGGAUCGGAAAGCUCUGUUGUUAAGGAAGCGGUACUUAACCAGAAAGGGACGGCUAACUACGUGCCAGCAGCCGCGGUAAUAC
rnacentral:rRNA from 1 species